AAAACUCACCUAAUUUGCCUCUAUGUACAUGACCUUGACCUUUGACCUUGUGACCUUUGUCAAGGUCAUUGCUCUACAAUGUCAUUGCAAAAGACCCUAUGGGUCAAGGACCUUUUGUUUAAGAGUUUUGCCUAAUAAUGGCUUUUUAUAAACCAUCAAUGGGGGUUAUGUCCCUUACAUAAUGGUAAAACCAAUACAGUCAUAAUGUAACAAAGUUGCCCC
rnacentral:lncRNA from 1 species